AACGGGGCGCACGCAUGCGCCGUACUCCCGACCGUUUCAAACCCGGGGCAGGCCGCCUCCUCUUCAACGCGCGUGCGCGAAUGCCCCGCUCUACCCUCCUUCCUCUCCGUUGCCUGCGGCUUCUGCCUCCUUCCACGCGGCCCCCCUCCCCUCCCGGCCCCUUGUCUCGCGCACGCGCCUUCCCCCAAGCGCCGCUCCACGGCCAGCGCGAGCCGCCCUUCUCUCCCAAUCGCCAUUUUCCUUGAAGGAGAAGGGGUGGGGGUGGGGGAAAAAGAAAGGAGGCCUCUUGUUACGGCGCAUGCGCCGAAGGCCGUCCGGCGAUGGGAGGCUUGGUGGAGUGGAACGGAAAAGGCGUCUGCUUCCUCUGACGUCACGACGCCGGCCUCACGCAGGGACGUCGCGACGCCAGCGGGGGGUGCGCGCGGGCGCGCGCCGUGCGUGCUUACGUCAAGGCCCGGGGCGCAACGUCCUCUCUCUCUCUCUCUCUGUGUCUCUCUCUCUCUCCUGCUGCUGCCCCUCCGAAUGAAAGGGAAGGUCCCGGCCAGGGAGAGCUUGAGGAGAGACGCGGGUCCGGCGGCGACGCGGGCUCUUCCUUGCCCUCUCGUCUCUCGGAGCCGCCCUGAUCAGUCCUUGAGAGAACCUUGCUUCAGGUUGUCUGCACCGCCUGCCAGCUGAGGUGGCAAGGAUCUGGAGACUUUUGACUGCUAAGCUAGGCCAGUGGUUUCUGCUUAUGAAGCCGCGGUGCCUCUAGAUCCGUGGUUCCAAACCUUGGGUAACUCAGGCGUUUUGACACUAUAGUCUCCAGAAGCUUUCACCACUAGUGGUGCCGCUAAAUCUGUGGUUCCAAACCUUGGGUAACUCAGGUGUUCUGACACUAUAGUCUCCAGAAGCUUUCACCACUAGCUGUGCUGGCCAGGGGUUUGGGGAGUUGCAGUUCAAAAACACCUGGGUUGCCUAAGUUGGGAAGCACUGUUCCAGUUGCCCUGUACUCCCAGCCCCUUGUGGUUCCAGUUGCAGACCGUUAAGGGGCAAUGCAUUUAAUUUUUUUUAAACAGGUAGGCUAAGGAACUUGGGAAGAUAGCUUCAGUAACAUUUCUAGUUUCCCAUGUUCAGUAAUUUUAAAAAGAGUCUUGCUGGAUUGGACCCAAGGUGUACACAAAGCAGCCUCCCAUUUAGGGCAAGGUAGAUACCCAAAUGUCUGAAGGAAACCCCAAAGCAAGAGAAGAAGGCAAUAGCCUUCUAUUAAUACUUCCCAAAGUAUUCUGUUAAUAAUGGUUGUGGGUUUUUCGGGCUUCUUGGCCGUGUUCUCUCCCACCUAGACUAUACUGACUCCCCAAAAUCCACAAGGACUCUACCCCGCUCAGGCCCAUUGUAAGUGCCAUCGGCUCCCCAACAUAAAAAAACUGAACACGGCCAAGAAGCCCGAAAAACCCACUACCAUUAGAUCCCGGCCGUGAAAGCCUUCGGGAAUACAUUCUGUUAAUACAUUGAGGCAUUUGAUCUCUGGAUUCUUUUACAAAUUGUGAAACCUUCAUGACUAGAGGCUACCCUUAGUCUUAUUGUCUGUGAACCUAAUUCCCUUCUAAAGCCAUUUUAAGUUGAUGGCCAUUGUCCUGCCUAUGGAGCCAAAGGAUGUAGUUAGUUUAGUCAUUGCAUUGUGUGAAACGGUUCUUUUUGUCUGUCCAUCUGUUUCAUUUCAUUGGAUAAUCUCAGUUGCUAGUACCAGGGAAGGAGAAAAACUGUUCUUCUCCACGUGUUGCAUUAUUUACAUACUUCUGUUGUGUCAUAUCUGGCUUGUCUUCCCUGCCUCCUAAACUAACUAGUUCCUAACCUUUCCUUCGAAUGUAUUGUUCUGUUUUAUGUCCACACAGCAAAUUCAGGCAGUUUGGGUCCAUUCUUCUGUGCCUCUGAAGCCUAGUUUUAAGGUCUUGGCAUUAACUUUCAAAGCCUUAGGUUCCUUGGGCCAGCACUCAGAUCGUUGCCUGAGCCUUAAAAUGAGAAUGUGGGGCCUUGCUAUCUAGUCAAUCAGCAAAAGACUGGCUGUUAUCUCAGCAUGGUGUCCUCUGUGGUGGCUCCACAUCUCAGCUAUAUUGUUGCCAAAUAAGUAUCCUUAGGCUGGCUUUCACUGCCCUUUUUUGCUCCCAUUGGCUUUGGGGUCAUAACACUGUGGCUUUUGUCUAGUUGCUUUUUUCAUGGGAUUCCUGCCCUGAGCAGAGGGGUUGGACUCAGUGGCCUUACAGGGCCCUUCCAACUCAAUUAUUCUACAAUUAUAUUAUUGCUUUUAAUUAAUCAGGCCUUGAUAUUUCAUUAGUGUUCUCAGUGAUCUUGUAUUCUUAAUAUUGUUAACCCCCAGGGUUAACAAUAUCUUGGAAUGUACGUGCAUUAAAAUAAACAGAAUAAAAGGGCCUGUUUCA
ensembl:lncRNA